rnacentral:rRNA from 1 species
CCUACGGGAGACUGCAGUGAGGAAUAUUGGUCAAUGGGCGGAAGCCUGAACCAGCCAAGCAGCGUGCAGGAUGACGGACCUACGGGUUGUAAACUGCUUUUAUACGGGAAUAACGCGCCUUACGUGUAGGGGUAUGCAUGUACCGUAUGAAUAAGGACCGGCUAAUUCCGUGCCAGCAGCCGCGGUAAUCCGGAAGGUCCGGGUGUUAUCCGGAUUUAUUGGGUUUAAAGGGAACGUAGGCCGCAUGGCAAGCUUGCUGUGAAAUGUCCGGGCUCAACCCGGGCCUUGCAGCGCAAACUGGCGUGCUUGAGUCCGCGGAAAGCAGGCGGAAUUCGUCGUGUAGCGGUGAAAUGCUUAGAUAUGACGAAGAACCCCGAGUGCGAAGGCAGCUUGCUGGAGCGGAACUGACGCUGAUGCUCGAAAGCGCGGGUAUCGAACAGGAUUAGAUACCCGUGUAGUC